ACAGGAGAUGAAUGAUUAGAGCUAGACAUGAGAUCGAACCAGUUUUCUGAAUGCUUCAAUAGCAACUGAACUGGUGACACUGGCAAGUUGGAACAGGAAAUGAAAUGCAUGUGAUGAUUUAAGAACCUUUCAAAUUAGAAGUUGAUGGUAAAUGCACCCUUGAAGACUGAUUCUCAUUUAAUGUUCUGUAGCUAUCCAGGCGGAGCGAUAAGAAGAUUACACAUUCAGCUGGACUUGGGUGCACUGAAAGAUGAGGUUUAAAGUUGUAGGCUUUUUACUAACCUGACCAUGCCAGGUCUCAGAAACUGUCUGGACUCUUCUUGGCCUGAGUCAUCUUUAGUCUGUAUAGCUGUGAUAACAGAUAUCUACCAGUCAAGACAAUGGUUUUCAAAAAGCAAAGAAUACAACUGAACAAAAAGGGAAAGUCUUCUUCAUAUUGCUGCCAGGAAAGUAAACGUCAUACAUCUUCCAAGUUCUAACUUGGUACUGCACUUGAUCUCCAGAGAUACCUGGCCCUUGCAACAUCAAUUGACUUUCAGAGUUUCAGAGAGAAUCAAAGGCUCUCUCCUGUCAGGAGGUACUGUUUGCACUUACAGAUGUUAAAUACUAGAUAUAUCAGAUUCUAGAAUUGAAUACAUCUUUCUUUUUACCGAACCUCAGAAUCUUUAAUACCAACCAAUGAAGUUGUAACAAUGUCAGAUCUUAGAAAACUUCACAGAGAGAGAAACAUUUGCAAAAGCACACAAUAGAGUGCUAGGGUAUAUUUAUGCUACAGUUGGAAUGGGAUGUUUUCAUACCCCUCAAACUUGUUGCAAAAGCAUUUAUAAUCAAGAAAUUGUUCAGAAUCUUAUUAAGAAAUGUUCCAAACCAUAGCCCAAAAAUUAAAAUCUGAAAGCAUGACACAUACAUGCUAUCUCUCUCUGUUUGAUUGCUGCUGUUAUCUGCUGCUGAAGUGAUCCAAGACUACCAGAAACCUAAUGUUACAAGCUCCUGUGCACACAACUGUAAUCACAUUCUUUAAACAGCAAACACAAGCAGUAAGAUGAUUUCUUGCUAUGGCAUUAUAUUUGCAGAUGAAAAUACAAGUGUUAAUCUCCAG
rnacentral:lncRNA from 7 species